CCGCCCCCGGCCCGGGUCACUUGCCGUCGCGGUGGGCGGCCCCCGGCGAGUCCACACCCCUGCCCCGCCUCCUCCCGGUAGGAAACUCCGGGACCCUGCAAGGGAUGACUCACCCCAGUGAUUCAACCGCGCCACCGAGCGCGGAGCUGCCCUGGAGGACGCAGGCGGGUCUAGUUGCCCGGGUCCCCCAAGGCCCCCGGAUUCACCCAGGCCCGCGACUCCGACGUGCAGCUUAGGUCUGAGGGUCAGUUGGCUCAGGCAUCGCCCGGUACGACCAGAGAUAGUGACUGAGGAAGAGCAGCCUCACAUCUGGCAGUUUGCCUCUGGGAGAAUUCCAGCGUGACAUCUGCAGCUCUGUGGUUCCAGAAAGGAUGGUUCCCACAUUGAAGAAGACAUCUGUGGGACUGAGUUCCACCGAAAUGCAGAGGAACCAAAAAUGAAAAUGAAAAAUGUAACCAGAGUUGUGUGCCACUAGUUUUAAGCUUUGGUUUUUCUAAAUUAUUUUCUGGCUUCUCCUUCUGGGCUUUGCUGUAAACUUGCCAAGCAUGAGAACAACUCUUCAUCUAUUGAGUGGCAUUUUAAGCCAUCCUGUCAAAGUAUCUCCUGUCAUUUUUAUUAUUAUUACUCUAUAUUGCCUGCAAGACACGACUGGAGAAUUCUUAGUGUAAGAAUUGUUUGUUUCCUCUCUCCUUCUUUCCCACGUUUUCCCAGGGAAGUCAGUCUUGCAUUUUAAUGCAUACUAUAUACAUAUCUCGUUUAGCUUACUGAACCACUUGUUUUAACAGAAUAAAACUGUGCAAAAUUUUAAUUUUCCUCCUUUGCCUGAACUGAAAUAGCACAUCCAGGUUUAGCCCUUGUAGACUUUCCUUCCUCGAAGCAGAAAGUUGCCCUUGAUGAUUUCCUCUUUGAGCUCUCUGCCAGCUCUGAAACCCACAAAAUUUAUGUUUGCAAAACUAAGCCAUGCAAUCCUCUUUUUAUGCAGGCUCUAGCCUGAGUCAUUUUCCCUAAGAGAUCUUCAGCUCCACCUGGGAUGUGAUUCUUUGCUCUCUGGGAUUGAAGGUAGCUGAAGAGAAAUAGUUACACUUCAGCCUAGUUAACAGAUGCUCCAAAUUUUGAGCCUGUAACCCUUCCAAUCCCUUGCUGCCUUUGAUGGUGAUGCUCCAUCCUAUUAUACCAACUCCACAUUGAAGCAGAACUCUCAAGACAGAGAUGGGGAGGGAUGGAUGGGCUGUGAGGCCCCCCAGCCAAGAAGCUGGAAGAACUUUCUCGAAUCCUGCAGAGCUGCUCAGGGGCCUGCCUUGUAUCUGCCUGGCUGUUCCAGGGAGGUUGGAAGACAAACUGAAGGCUUUCCAUUGCUGAACAUCAGACCUCAGAAGUACUGACUGGAGGGCUCCCAAGCUGGCUCAGAUCAGCCUCAUAUUGCCCCGAACAGUAUCAUCACCGCUUUGCCCUGGUGGGGAAACUACUCUUUACCCUCUGUAUGAACCUAUGAAGCACGCAGGUCACUGGGGCAAUUUCUGAGUUUGAAGUUGCUUGGAUUUGCCAUUGCUGCUAUGUUGAAGGGAAGGGAGUGCUUUUGAAGAAAAUGUUCAUCUCUAGUUCCAGUAACAGGCAUGGAAUUGACACAUAACAGGUGUUUGUUGAAUUGAGCUGAAUAAAUUAGAAUCUGGGGCAAAAUAUAGUUGUUCUUUAUAGUCCUAAGUCUAUUAAUAAAGCAGAUAUAUCCUUAUUACAUGUUUUACUGCCAUAAAUGUGUCUACCAGAACUAGGAAUAAUGACAGACGGAAGGGUUGAGGAUUCUUUCUGACGAUAACCUGCCAGGACACCCGCUUCCUCCCUCCCUGUCCAGAUGGGGUGGACUACAGUGCUCUGGCUCACACCAGGGGUGGAGGUAUUCCCAUUAUUUGUCUGUUUUGUUGUCUGUAGUGCUUAGUCAGAAUGCUGCCUGAUACAUUGCAGGGGUUCAAUGACUUUCUGUGGAAUGAAUGAACAGACAGAUGGUUACUUACCCCAGGGACAUAAGAGCCUCACAUAGCUGCAGCGUGAGCAGUGCCCUCUGCAGUCCUGGACCCAGAUGCAUAGAGGCCGAGAUGUUCAGCCUUCCACCCCAUGGCCAUCCCGGAGCCUGGGGCUGACUCUGUCUGGUUUGGCUGCU
rnacentral:lncRNA from 1 species